rnacentral:rRNA from 1 species
CGAAGGGGGCUAGCGUUGUUCGGAAUUACUGGGCGUAAAGCGCGCGUAGGCGGUGAUCUUUGUCAGAGGUGAAAUCCCGAGGCUCAACUUCGGAAUUGCCUUUGAAACGGGAUCGCUUGAGUCCGAGAGAGGAUGGCGGAAUUCCUAGUGUAGAGGUGAAAUUCGUAGAUAUUAGGAAGAACACCGGUGGCGAAGGCGGCCAUCUGGCUCGGUACUGACGCUCAGGCGCGAAAGCGUGGGGAGCAAACAGGAUUAGAUACCCUGGUAGUCCACGCCGUAAACUAUGAGUGCUAGUUGUUGGGAGGUUUACCUCUCAGUGACGCAGCUAACGCGUUAAGCACUCCGCCUGGGGAGUACGGUCGCAAGAUUA